AGGGCACCACCAGGAGUGGAGCCUGCGGCUUAAUUUGACUCAACACGGGAAAACUCACCCGGCCCGGACACUGGAAGGAUUGACAGAUUGAGAGCUCUUUCUUGACUCAGUGGGUGGUGGUGCAUGGCCGUUCUUAGUUGGUGGAGCAAUUUGUCUGGUUAAUUCCGAUAACGAACGAGACUCUAGCCUACUAAAUAGAACAGUGGUUUACAAACAUCACUGGUCGUUAUACUUCUUAGAGGGACAGGCGGCGAUUCAGCCGCACGAAACAGAGCAAUAACAGGUCUGUGAUGCCCUUAGAUGUCCGGGGCCGCACGCGCGCUACACUGAAGUGAUCAGCGUGUAUACAUUAGCCUGCUCUGCCAGGAGUGGGUAACCCAAUAAACCUUCUUCGUGAUUGGGAUAGGGGAUUGUAAUUAUUCCCCUUGAACGAGGAAUUCCCAGUAAGCGCGAGUCAUUAGCUCGCGUUGAUUACGUCCCUGCCCUUUGUACACACCGCCCGUCGCUACUACCGAUUGA
rnacentral:rRNA from 1 species